UACGAGAGGGCCGCUACCACGCGAGUGGAUGCCAAUCCUAAAACCCCUCUCAGUUCGGACUGGAGUCUGCAACCCGACUCCACGAAGCAGGAUUCGCUAGUAAUCGCGCAUCAGCCACGGCGCGGUGAAUACGUUCCCGGGCCUUGUACACACCGCCCGUCAAGCCAUGGGAGCCGGGGGUGCCUGAAGUGCGUAACCGCGAGGAUCGCCCUAGGGUAAAACUGGUGACUGGGGCUAAGUCGUAACAAGGUAUC
rnacentral:rRNA from 1 species